GUACUCUCACACUCUCCGAUCCUUUGGAUUUGGGGAGAGGUGGACGUGGGUGCUUGCUGCUUUCCUUGUGGCUCACCUCAAAUGCAUCAGUGCAUCUCUUGAUUGGACAUAGUACGGCGUGAUAAGUGUCUUCGCCGGCACCUCAUUCGAGGGUGGCCGAUUGGGAGCUCUGUGCUUUCCAACCGUCUUCGGACAAUGUCUGACA
rnacentral:misc_RNA from 1 species